CGCGGGAUAGCAAUAUUCUGGCGGCGACCGGCGGAAGGGUGCGUAACGCGUGAGCGACAUGCCCGUUGCCCGGGGACAACCGGUGGAAACGCCGACUAAUCCCCGAUGGGAUACGAUGCUGCACGGCAUUGUAUUGAAAGUUACGGCGGCGACGGAUUGGCUCGCGUCCGAUUAGCUGGUUGGCGGGGUAACGGCCCACCAAGGCUGCGAUCGGUAGGGGUUCUGAGAGGAAGGCCCCCCACAAUGGGACUGAGACACGGCCCAUACUCCUACGGGAGGCAGCAGUGAGGAAUAUUGGUCAAUGGGCGAGAGCCUGAACCAGCCAAGUAGCGUGAAGGAUGACGGCCCUACGGGUUGUAAACUUCUUUUGUGCGGGAAUAAAGGAACCUACGUGUAGGUUUUUGCAUGUACCGUAACGAAUAAGCAUCGGCUAACUCCGUGCCAGCAGCCGCGGUAAUACGGAGGAUGCGAGCGUUAUCCGGAUUUAUUGGGUUUAAAGGGAGCGUAGACGGGUUUUUAAGUCAGCUGUGAAAGUUUGGGGCUCAACCUUAAAAUUGCAGUUGAAACUGGAGACCUUGAGUACGGUUGA
rnacentral:rRNA from 1 species